rnacentral:rRNA from 1 species
AUUGAACGCUGGCGGAAUGCUUUACACAUGCAAGUCGAACGGCAGCACGGGGCAACCUGGUGGCGAGUGGCGAACGGGUGAGUAAUACAUCGGAACGUGCCCAAUCGUGGGGGAUAACGGAGCGAAAGUUACGAUAAUACCGCAUACGAACCACGGAUGAAAGCGGGGGAUCGCAAGACGUAGCGCGAAUGGAGCGGCCGACGUGCGAUGAGGUAGUUGGUGGGGUAAAGGCUCACCAAGCCGACGAUUUGUAGCUGGUCUGAGAGGACGACCAGCCACACUGGGACUGAGACACGGCCCAGACUCCUACGGGAGGCAGCAGUGGGGAAUUUUGGACAAUGGGCGCAAGCCUGAUCCAGCCAUUCCGCGUGCAGGAUGAAGGCCUUCGGGUUGUAAACUGCUUUUGUACGGAACGAAACGGCGAGCUCUAAUACAGUUUGCUAAUGACGGUACCGUAAGAAUAAGCACCGGCUAACUACGUGCCAGCCGCCGCAGUAAAAC